rnacentral:lncRNA from 13 species
GCACCCCAAAUACCCCACCCCGUCCGGCUGGAGCCCCCCCAGAGGGCCCCCCCCGGAGCUGCCUUACUUCGUGCGGCGCUCGCGGCUGCACAACCUCCCGGUGUACCUGGGGCUGCGGCAGGGCCGGCGCCUCACGGCCCUGCGCCACAUCCACGGCGACAUCUGGGCGCUGGAGCGCGACCUGAGGGCGUUCCUGG